rnacentral:ncRNA from 3 species
UAGCCAAAUGCCUCGUCAU